AGUUCAAGGCUGGCAGUAUCGUAGCCUAUGAGGUAAAUCCGAGGCGCAAUUACUGCUGGCUGAAACUUGCUGUAAGUGCAGGAGUGGACAUGCUGCUGCUGUAGCAGCUCCAUAAUGUAUGUAAACUCUUUUUAGUAAGAG